CAACAUGGACAAAAUUAUAAAUGUACUAAUUAACUUUUUUGAUGAUGACCUGGCUAAAGUAACACAUCUAGAAAGUUUUGUUUUCACGAUAAUUCAAUGUAGGAUUAUGAUAUUAUUGCAAAAUGAAAUUGUACAUUGGCUCUUAAUUUAACAAGCACAUUAUCACCUUU